GCUGCAUUCAAGGUUCAUGGACCAACAUUAAGGUUUUUAUUUUCUUCAAGUAAGUUAAACCAGUGUGUUGCUAUGGAUGAAAGUGGAAUAAGAAAGAGAAAGAAGUCACAGAAUGGCUCCACUGACCUUACCAAAGACAACAAGGAGGUGGUGAAGGCCAUUGCUCUUCAAAAAGAUUGAGUUUUGUUGUGCAGCCUUGUCCCUUCCAAAAGACGAGAUUAAGCACCCACUCCACUGCUGCGACACUCUCUGCCCUUGCUGCAUGUCCACGCGAGCACAAACUUGACUACACACACUACAACCCAACUUUUGAUUUCUGCUGAUCAGCCACUUGUAAUUUGUGGAGAAAUACCGGACUUGUGCUAUUUGUUCCAGAUGUGUCACAUGGAGAAGGUCUUCAACUCUAAUGAUUUCCUUUUUUCCCCCUCAGUACAGGAAAAAAAAAGUGAAGGUAAGAAAAACUAUUGCAAAAAACUUCUGCAGUGUCUUCUCAUCAUCUGCUUUAAGGUUUAUUGUUCUAAAAAGUAAGUAAUAAUCUUUACUUUUGUGUUGACAAAGAUAAUUUUACUGUGUAAAAUUAGUCAAAUGAAGAUUUUUUUAAGCUUUACUAUAACUGAACUCGCAUUUAAAAAAAAAAAACAAAACUUUUUUGCUCUUUGGUCAAAGGCUCAGAAAUGAGCUGCAUGUUUCUGGGCCUUUAGCCAUGAAACAUGCAGCUUUGAAUAAUAAUUUACACCUGAGUUGUCAAUCCAUGUUGUAUGAAAACAUUGAUGACAUAUAUGACAACAUAUAAAAUUUCCAUUUCCAAUGCAGGAAUAAAAUUCCAACCUCACAUUAAUUGUAAAUUGAAUUCUGAUUUGAUAUGGAAAAUCCUGCUUGCAAGCUCAAGAACACGGGUUGAUUAUGUUUUCAUUUUCUUUUUCUGCCAAUUUGAGCAGGAAAACUUUAAUAUUUAUACAUGUAUUAACACAGACUUUGCUACUCUAUUCAAAGUUGCUAAGAAUAAAAAGUAAGUCAAUAAUAAACCACAACACCAAUAUAAAGAUUUUUCUUGCUACAAACUUUAGAUAAUCUGUCAUGUGAAUUUUCAUUUCAGCAAUAAGACGAGCUGCUCCCCCGUCCUCCCAAAAAGAAGACCCGGCGGUCAAAUUACAAGAGUACCGCCGGGCAUGGGAAAAACAGCCCCCGCCGGGUGAAGCGGACCGGCGGGGGCUGAAGACCCGAAUUCAGAAGCAACUAAGGAGCGGGGUGACCCCAAAAACAACAGAAAAACAUCCUGCACCACCAAAUUUUCACGGUGGCACGUGGACCUGUAGUUCACCAGGUUCCUUCGUCCUCUCCUCCCGCCGAGCUCCUAUGAUUACAACAAUACCGCCGGGCAUGGGAAAAACAGCCCCCGCCGGUCCGCUUCACCCGGCAACAGGGCGAUGCUGGGGAGGCAGGUGAGAGCAGCUGGUGGCGUUUGGUCUGAUGACAAUCUUCUUUCCCUUGUUUUAGUGAGACGGGAGGAGAGGAUGGACAAGGCCCAUAAAAAAAUAAAAACCCCAUAUCAAGCCAUGUGUGUGUGGAGUGCAUUCUACAAAUACGUACAGAGAAAAACCCAACAGUCAUACGACCCCUUAUGAGCAGGCACUUUGGUGACAGUGGGAAGGAAAAACUCCCUUUUAACAGAAAGAAACCUCCAGCAGAACCAGGCUCAGGGAGGGGCAGCCAUCUGCUGGGACCAGUUGAGAGAAG
ensembl:lncRNA